rnacentral:rRNA from 1 species
AUUGAGUGGCGAACGGGUGAGUAAUACAUCGGAACGUGUCCUGGAGUGGGGGAUAGCCCGGCGAAAGCCGGAUUAAUACCGCAUACGCUCUGAGGAGGAAAGCGGGGGAUCUUUCGGGACCUCGCGCUCAAGGGGCGGCCGAUGGCAGAUUAGCUAGUUGGUGGGGUAAAGGCCUACCAAGGCGACGAUCUGUAGCUGGUCUGAGAGGACGACCAGCCACACUGGGACUGAGACACGGCCCAGACUCCUACGGGAGGCAGCAGUGGGGAAUUUUGGACAAUGGGCGCAAGCCUGAUCCAGCAAUGCCGCGUGUGGGAAGAAGGCCUUCGGGUUGUAAAGCACUUUCGGACGGAACGAAAUCGCGCGGGUGAAUAUCCCGCGUGGAUGACGGUACCGUAAGAAGAAGCACCGGCUAACUACGUGCCAGCAGCCGCGGUAAUG